AUGAGGGCUUUAUUCUGGAAUAUAAGCGGUUUCGGUGCUAGGGGGCGCCAUGACCAACUUAAAGAUUUGGUUCGUUCUAACUCUAUUGAUUUUGUGGGGCUGGUUGAAACUUUUAAGGAUUCCUUCUCCCCUAGUGAGCUCUCUGCUAUCGUGGGUAUGGAUAGAUUUCAUUGGCAAUUCUUACCUGCUUCGGGACACUCUGGCGGGAUUUUGAUUGUCUCUAAUAAGGAUAUUUUUGAUUUUGUUGCUUUUGAUCAUGGGUUUUUUUGGGCUAGUGUUGUUCUGUCUCACAAAUCUAUGAAUACCCUCUGUGAGUACAUCGUUGUUUAUGGGCCUGCGAACCACUCUCUGUCGAACCUUUUCCUUAAUGAACUCUCGACCAAGAUUGAGUCUUGUACUUUACCGAUGGUUAUUGGGGGAGACUUUAACUUGCUGCGUUGCCCUCUGGACAAGAAUAAUAAUAAUUUAUCUUGUUCUUUAGCCAAUGCUUUUAAUGACUUCAUUAGUGCUAACGCCAUUCGUGAGCUUCCUCGGGGGGAGCUCGCUUUACUUGGUCUAAUCAUCAGGCUAACCCUAUUAGAUCCGUGCUGGAUCGUGUUUUCCUUGGUCCCAGGUGGGAUGCCCUGUUCCCUAGGUCUUAUCUUCUCGCUAAAUGCAUUGUCGGGUCUCAUCAUACCCCCUUGA
rnacentral:rRNA from 1 species